rnacentral:precursor_RNA from 8 species
CAAAUGGACUGACUUGAGUGGUGGCCUGGUGGUCGUAUGUAUGACGUCAUUUACUUCAAAGUUUGGAGUGACAUCAUAUGUACGGCUGCUAAACUGCUACAUGGCUCAUCAGAAAGCUC